rnacentral:misc_RNA from 1 species
GUGCAUCGAACUGCUGGCUCCCCAUCCGCUUCAGUYAUCCCCAUGUGAAGCUUUUUCAUUAUGGGGUGCGUAUGGUAUCCUGUGCUGCUUACCCAUGAAUUGGAAUUYGUUGGCUUCGUUGUAUUGAUCCGYCUUGUGCCCCUUUGGGGUGUGGGGCGGACGUGAGGCGGGCUCUUUGUUCCUAACGUGCCUAGUGCAUUGUCAYUYUGCCGUUGUGGCCCAUGGAGUCUCUCGCUUGUUUUCUCGGAUGCGGAAUGCUAUGYGUUGGUAAAGAGGUWUUGGCCUCAACUUGCCUAAUUAUCGUCCYUUGACUUGAACGAUUGCUGCRUCCGUCUUUGAUCUUCCCGACCAAGGCCUCGUAAUGGGGCUUACUGGAYGAGGGUUGSUCAYGCGGGCGUUGCCAUUGGACUCGUCCCUUAACUCGAACGACUGCGRYGUCUGUCUUUGAUCUUCCCGACCAAGGCCUCGUAAUGGGGCUUACUGGAYGAGGGUUGCUCAUGCGGGCGUUGGCAUCGACGAGGAAUGU